rnacentral:lncRNA from 1 species
AAUUCUUUCCUCCCUCCCUCUCUCCCUCUCCUCUUCCCUGCUAGUUCUUGUGGAGUGCCUGCUCCCUGUUCCAUACUAACUGUAAGGGUUUGGGAGUGAGCAACUUAUAUUUUAUCUGUAAAGUGGGAAUGCUAACUGCUGUCAAGCAGAAUUCUUUUGAAACAGGAUAUGAUUUCCUAGUACGUGGUUUCCAAUGCAGCACAGGAUUUUCUAUUGAUCUUGUUUUUUGUUUUUUUUUGUUUUUUUGUUUUGCACUGUCUUAUAGAGAGUUUUAAAUUGACAGGGCCACAAAGCCUGGGUGACUUGGCCAUUGAGCUAGUAAUUUGGAUAAGAAAAUUCCUAAAUCUGGCCUAUAGUGGGAAAUGAUUUCCCCCUCUCCCAGAUCUGGGUCCUUGUCUUCUUCCCUGAAAAUGGAUAAUCAGACAAAUAAGAAAUAUCUGUAUAUUGACAGUAAUUCAUUCCAGAAGGUUAAUCAAUAAAGAACUAAAAUGCUGAGGAAUUUAAUGCCUUUCAUUUUAUUGUCUUUCAAUUUUUUUGGGGGGUAUGCAUCAACUGAGGUGGAUAUUAAGGGGUUUUAUAUCCCUAGCUUCAAAGGCAUAUACUUUUCAAAUUUCCUCAAUGAGGAAAACACAAACGUUUAGAGGUAGGUUAAAAAAACCAAGGCUGCCAAUGCUAUAAGCACCCUGCUGACACAAGAUGAUUUUAUGUGUUUUUUUUUUUUUUUUUUUAACUUGCAACUCGAGGCAGGGGAUAAGUGCUUGCUAAUUAAUAUAAUCUCAAUCCUGACAUAGUCAUGCUCAUGGGAAUAUCUAUUCCCCUCUUAGGGGGAAUGGAGAGAUUCAGAAACACACAGGCAUUAACCUGAUAAGUCCUCAGGCAACUUUGCUGCCAGAAUAUGCUGCCAGGAGACUGUAAGUCAUCAGGCUUUUCUGACUCAUUAUAAAAAUUAGUCUCCUGAUAUGUAAAAGCCAGUAUGGGAGGAAUUAAAUGGAGUCCUGAUGAAAGAGAGUGUUUGUUCUCAGAGUUUGUCUGCUGGCUCCUUUACGACUGGAGAACAGGUAGUAAAAGAACUCCAGAGACUUGCCUACAUCAGUGAAAAGAAAGAAGCUGCAAGAAGUCUGACCACUAAGGUAAGGGAAACUACUAAGGUAAGGGAAACAUUUCUUCAGUCACAUUUUUACCGCCAACAAUGGAUUUUUUUUUUUUUAAAGUGAAAUGUAAGAAGUCAGGGAAUAUCAAGUGCUGGCAAUUAUUAUUAUCCUUUGUGUGUACUUGAUAUGUGUGAAUUUGAAAAAUGAUUUUAAUAUUGGGAAUUUUAAAAGAAUGACUAGGGGGAGGCGUGCAGUUGUUCUGAAAGGCCUUUAUGCGUGUACCCUACUAGGCGCUGAAGGAAAUGAUGGGUCACAGAUGUAGUCCCAUUCUUUCUAAUUCUCUGAAGAUCUAGGACUAUUGCUUUCCUGACAUGACAUCCCUCCUGAUGUAUCUUUCUAGAACAUCGCAAUUACUAUUUUCACUGCCAAUCUUGUAGCACGCAUUCCGUGCCUCUGACUUGAUCUGGGCUCAUUUGAAGGAUAAUGGACUGACUGCUAUCUCAGCAAACUGAUUCCAAAGGUAAUUGUAAUUUAUGAUCUAUAUGUAUCAUCACUAUUUUCUAAACGGGAAAGUGUGAUGAAAGAAUCAAAUCACUGGCAUUUUCUUUUUAAGGUGUCUACUACACUGACAUCUCCAAAAGUAGGCUUUGCCACAUAACUCAUAAGUUUUGGUUAUUUGAUAGAUUUAUAUAAAUGGCAGGUCAAUUACAAUUAUUAUAUCCAUUUAAGAGAAAAGAAAACAAAGGCCAAGGAGUUUGAUUUCCUUGAGCAAUACAGGCCAUGAUAUAGUAAAGGAGUGUGAUGUGGAUGACCUGUUAAAAUUCACAUGUGCUGCAGUGGAUGAUGUCUGUGACUAUGGAAAGAGUAAAUAAAAAGAUUGAUAGAAAUAUCCCUGUCCUUGAU